rnacentral:rRNA from 1 species
CUACGGGGUGCAGCAGUGAGGAAUAUUGCACAAUGGGGGGAACCCUGAUGCAGCAACGCCGCGUGGAGGAUGACGCAUUUCGGUGUGUAAACUCCUUUUAUAUGUCAAGAAAAUGACGGUAGCAUAUGAAUAAGCACCGGCUAACUCCGUGCCAGCAGCCGCGGUAAUAGCGGAGGGUGCAAGCGUUACUCGGAAUCACUGGGCGUAAAGGACGCGUAGGCGGGUUGGAAAGUCAGGUGUGAAAUCCUACAGCUUAACUGUGGAACUGCACUUGAAACUUCUAAUCUAGAGUAUGGGAGGGGGAGAUGGAAUUAGUGGUGUAGGGGUAAAAUCCGUAGAUAUCACUAGGAAUACCUAAAGCGAAGGCGAUCUCCUGGAACAUUACUGACGCUAAGGCGUGAAAGCGUGGGGAGCAAACAGGAUUAGAUACCCGCGUAGUC